rfam:Sphingomonas sp. Leaf9 contig_4, whole genome shotgun sequence.
CUUCUUUUCAAAGCGCUUCCGAACGCCUAUAUGCCCUUUUGUCGGCUUCCAGCCGGCUAUGACGAUAAACUGCGGCGUGCAAUAGACGCAGCGGACCCGGGGGCAGUACCCGGCGGCUCCACCAUAAGGUGGUGUUUCUGGACACCGUUUCUGACGGGGCCGAACCAGGAUCGACGUGUGUUGAAAAGCGCUGUUUUCGUUCGGAAUGGGACCACCGCAACGGCCCAUACACACAAGUGCCAACGAUAACGAAGCACUCGCGAUUGCAGCGUAACUAAGGGCCUCACGGCCUGAAGUUACUCUAAAAUAGCGCGGUUGGACCGAACCGGGCAACAGAAUCGGAUUCCAGCGGUACGGGGAGCACCGGGCAACAGAAGCUCCCCACC